GACGAACGCUGGCGGCGUUCUUAACACAUGCAAGUCGAACGGAGUGGCGAACGGGUGAGUAACACGUGGGUGAUCUGCCUUGCACUUCGGGGUAAGCUUGGGAAACUGGGUCUACUACCGGAUAUUGCAAGAUGAGCUCGAGGCCUAGCCGCUUGUUGGUGUGGUAAUUGCCUUCCAAGGCUUCGACGGGUAGCCGGCCUGGGAGGGGGUACGGCCACAUUGGGACGGAGAUACGGCCCAGAGUCGUACGGGAGGCAGCAGUGGGGAAUAUUGCACAAUGGGCGGAAGCCUGAUGCAGCGACGCCGCGGGGGGGAUGAAGGCCUUCGGGUUGUAAACUCCUUUCGACAGGGACGCGGUACCUGUAUAAGAAGCACCGGCUAACUACGUGCCAGCAGCCGCGGUAAUAC
rnacentral:rRNA from 1 species